CCUACGGGAGGCAGCAGUGGGGGAUAUUGCACAAUGGGGGAAACCCUGAUGCAGCGACGCCGCGUGUGGGACGACGGUCCUCUGGAUUGUAAACCACUGUCCCCAGGGACGAAGAUGACGGUACCUGGGGAGGAAGCUCCGGCUAACUACGUGCCAGCAGCCGCGGUAAUACGUAGGGAGCGAGGGUUGUGCGGAAUUACUGGGUGUAGGGGGAGCGUAGGCGGGACUGCAAGUUGGGUGAAAAAUCUACCGUCUCAACCGGUAGCCGCACUCAAAACUGCAGUUCUGGAGUGAAGUAGAGGCAGGCGGAAUUCCUAGUGUAGCGGUGAAAUGCGUAGAUAUUAGAAGGAACACCAGUGGCGAAGGCGGCCUGCUGGGCUUUUACUGACGCUGAGGCUCGAAAGUGUGGGGAGCAAACAGGAUUAGAUACCCCAGUAGUC
rnacentral:rRNA from 1 species